GCACACGGCUUUAGAAAUGGUUAAGAGAGGUCAGGAGUUCAAAACCAGCCUGGCCAACAUAGUGAAACCCCAUCUCUACUAAAAAUAUAAAAAUUAGCUGGUGUGGUGGUGCACAUCUGCAGUCCCAGCUACUCGGGAGGCUGAGGUAGCAGAAUCACUUGAACCCGGGAGGCAGAGGCUUCAGUAAGCCGAGAUUGCACCAUUGCACUCUAGCCUGGGCAACAGAGGGAGACUGCGUGUCAAAAAAAAAGAAAAAACAAAAAGGCCGGGCACAGUGGCUCACGCCUGUAAUCCCAGCACUUUGGGAGGCUGAGGCGGGCAGAUCACGAGGUCAGGAGAUCCAGACCAUCCUGGCUAACACGGUGAAACCCCGUCUCUACUAAAAAUACAAAAAGAAAUUAGCGGGGCGUGGUGGCAGGCGCCCGUAGUCCCAGCUACUCGGGAAGCUGAGGCAGGAGAAUGGCAUGAACC
rnacentral:lncRNA from 10 species